rnacentral:tRNA from 1 species
CGGAGCGUGGCGCAGCCUGGUUAGCGCACCAGUCUGGGGGACUGGGGGUCGAGAGUUCAAAUCUCUCCGCUCCGACCA